UACAGAGGGGGGCAAGCGUUAUUCGGAAUUAUUGGGCGUAAAGGGCGCGUAGGCGCUUGGCAAGUGGAUGGUGAAAUCCCUCGGCUUAACCGAGGAACUGCCGUCCAAACUGCUUUGCUUGAGGCCGGGAGAGGCGAGUGGAAUUCCCAGUGUAGCGGUGAAAUGCGUAGAUAUUGGGGAGGAACACCAGUGGCGAAGGCGGCGACCUGGUCCAUUACUGACGCUGAGGCGCGACAGCGUGGGGGAGCGAUCCGG
rnacentral:rRNA from 1 species